rnacentral:rRNA from 1 species
AGAUUGAACGCUGGCGGCAUGCCUUACACAUGCAAGUCGAACGGUAACGCGGGGCAACCUGGCGACGAGUGGCGAACGGGUGAGUAAUGCAUCGGAACGUGCCCAGUAGUGGGGGAUAGCCCGGCGAAAGCCGGAUUAAUACCGCAUACGACCUAUGGGUGAAAGCGGGGGACUCGCAAGAGCCUCGCGCUAUUGGAGCGGCCGAUGUCAGAUUAGCUAGUUGGUGGGGUAAAAGCCUACCAAGGCGACGAUCUGUAGCUGGUCUGAGAGGACGACCAGCCACACUGGGACUGAGACACGGCCCAGACUCCUACGGGAGGCAGCAGUGGGGAAUUUUGGACAAUGGGCGCAAGGCCUGAUCCAGCCAGUGCCGCGUGCGGGAAGAAGGCCUUCGGUGUAAACCGCUUUGUCGAGGAACGAACGCUCGUGGACUAAUACCCGUGGGUAAUGGACCGUACCUAGAAGAA